GUUCCUGGAGUGAGGCAGGGAGGAGGCGAUGACCCGAGGCUGCCCAGCGCUUCCCCGUCAAUGGAAAAGGCCAUACUGGCAAGAGAACAACUGUGGCUCCCCUCAAAGAGGAAAGGACAUACCAUUUAUGAGAGAAAUGAUGGAACGAGAAGGGACUGGCUGGAUACACCAUCAGUGCCAAGGACACCAGAGCUGUCUGUGUGCAGUUUCUGGCUGAAGUUCAACCAAAGGGAGGCAGUGCUAGGAAACCCUGAAGUCACUUUGAAAUCAACAUUCAACAUGUCCUGGGACUUCCCUGAUGGUCCAGUGGUUAAGACUCCAUGCUCCUAAUGCUGGCGGUCUGGGUUUGCUUCCUGGUUAGGGAACUAGAUCCCACAUGCUGUAACUAAGAGCCCGCAUGCUGCAACUAAAGAUCCCAUGUCUAAGACCUGGCGCAGCCAAAUAA